UUCCGGGUUGAUCCUGCCGGAGGUUACUGCUAUCGGUGUUCGUCUAAGCCAUGCGAGUCAUAUGUAGCAAUACAUGGCAUACUGCUCAGUAACACGUGGAUAACCUGCCCUUGGGACCGGUAUAACCCCGGGAAACUGGGGAUAAUUCCGGAUACCGCAUAUAUGCUGGAAUGCUUUAUGCGUCAAAUGGAUUCGUCCGCCCAAGGAUGGGUCUGCGGCCUAUCAGGUAGUAGUGGGUGUAAUGUACCUACUAGCCUACAACGGGUACGGGUUGUGAGAGCAAGAGCCCGGAGAUGGAUUCUGAGACAUGAAUCCAGGCCCUACGGGGCGCAGCAGGCGCGAAAACUUUACAAUGCGGGAAACCGUGAUAAGGGGACACCGAGUGCUAGCAUCAUAUGCUGGCUGUCCAGGUGUGUAAAAUACACCUGUUAGCAAGGGCCGGGCAAGACCGGUGCCAGCCGCCGCGGUAACACCGGCGGCCCGAGUGGUGAUCGUGAUUAUUGGGUCUAAAGGGUCCGUAGCCGGUUUGGUCAGUCCUCCGGGAAAUCUGAUAGCUCAACUAUUAGGCUUUCGGGGGAUACUGCCAGGCUUGGAACCGGG
rnacentral:rRNA from 1 species